CUCCCUCUCGCACGCGUCGCCUGCUCCAAAGAUUUCUUUACCGAGGUUGAGGAGGAGCAGGCGGAGCGCGGGCAGGGCGGACUUCUCCUACCCGACAACGGCUGCAAUGAACGCCGGCGCUCCUCAUCGCCCUCGACCUGCAAGGAGGAGCGCCCGUACUGGACGCUGCCGUCCCCGACAGGCUCUCUUCGAUGGAGCCCCCCUCCAUCUCGACGGCACCUGAGAGCGAGCCCGCACCCGUCCCAGUCGACUACCAUGCUCUACGCUCGACGGCAAGACCCACGAGAUGGGAGUAGGAUGUAUGUUGCGAAGGGAAGAACUGUGGGAUAUGGACGACGAGGCAGCUCGUGAAGAUGCGGUUGCUGCGUCUGCACUGAUUAGAUGAGAAGGUGCUGCUAGGCGAGGAGUGCUCUGGGCAGCGAGGAGUGCCUGGGCCAGCAGCGCCUCUAGGCGGCGAGGAGUGCCUAGGCCAGCGCGGCUAGGACGAGCGCCAGCAGCGGUGGCCUCCACCUGGGCGCCUGGCCAAGGAGGAGUGCCUGGGUGCGGUGCGGCAAGCAGUGCCUGGGAAAUAGUGAGGCGUGAGUUGCUGGGCGAGGCACGAGGUGCUGACGACGGCGAGGUUAAAAUUCAAAUAGAUCUGGGAGCAGAACAAUGGUACCCAUAAAAUGGAGAAAAGGUCAUGAUAUAGUGUGGAAUGCAAAUAUUGCUCACACUGACCUUGCAAAAUGAAGUCAGACCAGAACUGGAUGAUUGAUGCAGGCGAACAAAAUUAAGUUUCGAGGUACACGUAUUUGAGCACCAUGCCCUCCCGAGCUUCACAUAUUUUUGACUGUAAGCUUUACUUUUGUGAUUCAUCUCUUCUACCACUGACAGAUGCUAAACAACAAGGAUAACAUUAUAAACAUUUUGGGAGACAGAUUAAAAAAUAAGUGAAGUAGAAUACACUAUUCAGAAACAAACUUAGCUAUAAAAUCAUAUUAGUAACCCACCUCGCAUCCAUCUUUGUCGACCAGGUGUCGUCUUUGGUAGUUUCUCGCAUCCCCAUCAGCUUAGUUCUGUUGCGCUCUCGUAGUUGCUUAGCAAGAUUUACCCAUUCCCAACCGGAUCCAAACAGGGUUAAGUUCUCUGAGCUCACUAAUUUUGUAGUCAAUUUCAAUGCAAAAACAGGUAAACUAUAUGACCCAAUGCGAUAAACCAUAAGCAAUCAUGUGCAUUUACCUGGCACUGGAGACAUUUGGGAAUGAUGAUCAACAUUAGAGAUAUCACGUAGAGGAGGUCGGCGCAGAUUUGGCACGUCCAUAUCUUCAAGUAUCAUGGUCUGUCGGCGCCUUCAGAAUGAGAACACUGCGACAACAGCGUUGUAAAGACAAAUCCUACUUUAGUUCCCUGGGAAAGGGCAUCCUACUCGCGCCCCUGCCGCUGAUAAGUACCUUUUUUCUCUCCACUUUCUCGCUCAUAAUCCUUAACUUUUCCUAACAAUGGACCAAAUUGUCUUGGUUUAAAUUAAAAGUAGUAUAAGAAACCUGCGGCUAAAUAUUUGUUAGACCUUGCUUUCACCAAAUAGAGUACUGACCACGUUGACGUUUAGCUCACUGACCAAAUUGAGUACUGACCACAGAACUUGCUUUGACCACAUUAAUGGGCCAUAUGCAGAAGUUCAAAUGGUAAUCUCACACUGGUUUAUGCCGGCUCCCGUAAGCACAAAUUAUUUCAUAUGAAAGACGUAUGUAGGUCCGUAUGUAGGUUUAUUUGUUUUCUUAGAAAUGAAAGUAGGAGAGACCCUUACUGUUCAAUUAGGCCAUAGAAAAAACAAGUCCAUUUCUCCUGUCAAGCAAAAUAACUCAAGAAGCUAAUUAAUAGUGCAAACGGAGCUUACUUUUUUCUAAGGAAAUUAUUUGCUUCACAUGACAUUUGUUCCUGCAAUAUUAUAAUUAUAAUUCAAUGUAUUGUUGGUAAUAGGCAAAUUUAUAUCUGAACAAAUUCUAUGAGAAAGCAACGGGGCUCCCUGAAACUACACGGCUCCCUGAAACUACACAUUAUACCCUUUGUGUUAGUCAAGAUCAAAAAAUAGCUAGGCAUUGGUAAUCAUGAUUGUACCUUAUAAUCAAGUUAUUUGUUGCGUUGAUGUCUGGGUUAAAGUAUAUCCGAGACUGCUCAGUCGUACCCAAGAUAGCAUCUGAAAUUCAGUGCAUACAAUCAGAGGCAUGUUACCUCCAGAAAUCCCUAUCAAAAGACACUGGUUUCCUUCCCCGCAUUACAUAUGCCAAAAGAGACUAAGCAUAGCCUUAACCCAUUUAGUUGUCUAGAUGACCAGAUUAAAUCAUAAGCAUUACAUGGUUCUUAUUUCAGUGAAAAGGAAUACCGUUGAAUAAUGAUUACCAAUGCAUAUGUCAGCAUGCAUAAUACAGAAACCACACGUUUAAUCAUUUAGGGGGGCAGAUACAUUUGUUUUCAGAGCCUACAGAUGCACAAAAAUAAAAUAGCACCUACAGACUCACCUGUAUGCUAUGGAUCUUCCACCUCGCAGACUGUGUCGACCUGCUUAGUGCACGGCAGUAGUGAAUAAAAGGGACUGAAUAAGACUGAAAACUAAAAUAAGAAGUAGUGAAUAUGCCAACAAGCUAAGAGGCAAAAGAAAACUAAGAAGGGGACUGAGAGUGAGAGGAUCAAUGAACAUGACUGAAGAAAUAAGAAUGAAUAUGACUAACUAAAUUUCAUAAUACUGAACUGACCACCCACUGUCAAAAAAAUAACAUGGUGAUGACUGACAGAAGU